CUCUUCCGCCUGCUGGGGACAGAUGUAGUGAAUGUGGGUGUCCACGCCGCCGGCGGUGAGAAUAUGCCCUUCGCCGGCAAUCACCUCAGUGCCCGGCCCCACAUUGAUGGUGACACCGUCCUGAAUGUCGGGGUUGCCGGCCUUGCCAAUGGCGUGAAUGCGGCCGGCCUUCAGCGCCACGUCGGCCUUGACGAUGCCCCAGUGAUCCACGAUCAGCGCAUUGGUGAUGACGGUAUCCACGCUGUCGGCGCGCACCGCCUGACUCUGCCCCAUGCCGUCGCGGAU
rnacentral:sRNA from 1 species